CAUGCAGUCGAACGGCAGCAUGAUCUAGCUUGCUAGAUUGAUGGCGAGUGGCGAACGGGUGAGUAAUACAUCGGAACGUGCCCUGUAGUGGGGGAUAACUAGUCGAAAGAUUAGCUAAUACCGCAUACGACCUGAGGGUGAAAGUGGGGGACCGCAAGGCCUCAUGCUAUAGGAGCGGCCGAUGUCUGAUUAGCUAGUUGGUGAGGUAAAGGCUCACCAAGGCGACGAUCAGUAGCUGGUCUGAGAGGACGAUCAGCCACACUGGGACUGAGACACGGCCCAGACUCCUACGGGAGGCAGCAGUGGGGAAUUUUGGACAAUGGGCGAAAGCCUGAUCCAGCAAUGCCGCGUGUGUGAAGAAGGCCUUCGGGUUGUAAAGCACUUUUGUCCGGAAAGAAAUGGCUCUGGUUAAUACCUGGGGUCGAUGACGGUACCGGAAGAAUAAGGACCGGCUAACUACGUGCCAGCAGCCGCGGUAAUACGUAGGGUCCAAGCGUUAAUCGGAAUUACUGGGCGUAAAGCGUGCGCAGGCGGUUGUGCAAGACCGAUGUGAAAUCCCCGAGCUUAACUUGGGAAUUGCAUUGGUGACUGCACGGCUAGAGUGUGUCAGAGGGGGGUAGAAUUCCACGUGUAGCAGUGAAAUGCGUAGAGAUGUGGAGGAAUACCGAUGGCGAAGGCAGCCCCCUGGGAUAACACUGACGCUCAUGCACGAAAGCGUGGGGAGCAAACAGGAUUAGAUACCCUGGUAGUCCACGCCCUAAACGAUGUCAACUAGUUGUUGGGGAUUCAUUUCCUUAGUAACGUAGCUAACGCGUGAAGUUGACCGCCUGGGGAGUACGGUCGCAAGAUUAAAACUCAAAGGAAUUGACGGGGACCCGCACAAGCGGUGGAUGAUGUGGAUUAAUUCGAUGCAACGCGAAA
rnacentral:rRNA from 1 species